GAUAUGUAUAUAUAUUGCACAUUAUAUAUUAUUAUAUUUUUUAUAUAUAUAAUAAUUAUUAUAAUAUAAUAAGAUAAGAAAAGUAAAGUACACGGGUGCAGCAGCUGGGCUCCACGCUGCCUUACAGUUCGUUAAUUUCAUGAUACAAGUAAUUGUCGUGCCAUUUGGGUGUGCACGUGAAUAUGCGAAAAUAGUGCAACCGACGGUGUUUGCAAAUGGAUUAUUUCCGAUAACAAUGGAUUAUUUUGGCGAUGGAUUAGAAAUUAUCAAGAGCAUGGAGCGAGCUAGUCUGCAAACAAGACAAUCUUCAAACAUGUACCUCUCGUUCCUCUGCCUGGCAAGCACGUUUCUGCGCUCUUUCGCUGCGCAUAAGAGCAGCGCCCGGGUCCGAUCUGACGGGUAUGUCCGUGUCUCCAGCACUAUAUCCACUAAAAUUAAAAAUAGUUGGCACAGCAUCUGGCUUCAGGCGAUUGGUGGGACGGCGAACAAAUCUCCCAUCUUCAGAAAAAGCUCCCUCUAAGAUGUAAUCAGCCUCUAUAAAGUGGUCGCUACAUACUCUCUGCCCUGGUCCCAUUGGGGGGCUGAGGCGUUUCAAUGCAGCUAACCAUCUUCGGAGCACUUCAGGCUUCUUGACGGGAAUUACAUGGAAAUGAACUAUUCUACCGCUCUCCUUUAACCGAUAAAAUUCGUUUGAACAGCCAGGGGCAAUACAAAAGGACCCCCCUGUUCUUCUUCCAAUAUCCGACAUGUUUAUUUUAAAGAGCCAACCAUUCUGAUGACGUAGCGCCUGCGUUUUUAUAACAUGGCUGCGCCCUAGAGGCGAAAGUCGUUAUAAACAUGUCAUUUUACGGUGAAACUACUUGAAUUUCAGUAUUGAUGAAAAUCCA